GCCAUGGCAGCCACUAGCCGCAUUACCAGGCGCUAGGGAGCACUUACUUGUAGACUAGCGCCCGGUAGAACGUCGGUCCGGCAUUCAGCACAGCUUGCAAAGUCAGGACCCCUCUCCCAGCCAAGCACCGUGACAGCACAAGGGCGUAUCAUUCACUCACUCCCGCCCUUUGCCCUGUACGUGCAGACAAGUGGCAGGGAGAAUUACAGGAAUAAU